rnacentral:tRNA from 1 species
GCAGUGGUGGUUCAGUGGUAGAAUUCUCUCCUUCCAUGUGGGAGACCUGGGUUUAAUUCUUGGCCAAUACA